GAUGAACGCUGGCGGCGUGCCUAAUACAUGCAAGUCGAGCGAACAGACGAGGAGCUUGCUCCUCUGACGUUAGCGGCGGACGGGUGAGUAACACGUGGAUAACCUACCUAUAAGACUGGGAUAACUUCGGGAAACCGGAGCUAAUACCGGAUAAUAUAUUGAACCGCAUGGUUCAAUAGUGAAAGACGGUUUUGCUGUCACUUGUAGAUGGAUCCGCGCCGUAUUAGCUAGUUGGUAAGGUAGCGGCUUACCAAGGCUACGAUGCGUAGCCGGCCUGAGAGGGAUACAGGCCACAGUGGGACAGAGAUACGGCCCAGAGUCCGACGGGAGGCAGCAGUGGGGAAUAGUGCACGAUGGGCGGAAGCCUGAUGCAGCAACGCCGCGUGCGGGAUGACGGCCUUCGGGUUGUAAACCGCUUUCGCCUGUGACGAAGCGUGAGUGACGGUGAUGGGUAAGGAAGCACCGGCUAACUACGUG
rnacentral:rRNA from 1 species